rnacentral:rRNA from 1 species
UACAGAGGCCUCGAGCGUUUAGGCGGAAUCACUGGGCUUAAAGCGUGUGUAGGUGGAUGCCUAAGUACCUUGUGAAAUCCCACAGCUUAACUGUGGAAUUGCUUGGUAUACUGGGGUGUCUUGAGCCACUCAGGGGCUACCGGAACAAAUGGUGGAGCGGUGAAAUGCGUAGAUAUCAUUUGGAACGCCAAUGGUGAAAACAGGUAGCUGGGGGUGUGCUGACACUGAGACACGAAAGCCAGGGGAGCAAACGGG